UACGGAGGGUGCAAGCGUUAUCCGGAUUUACUGGGUUUAAAGGGUGCGCAGGCGGAUAUGUAAGUCAGUGGUGAAAUCUCUAGGCUUAACCUGGAAAUUGCCGUUGAUACUAUAUAUCUUGAAUAUUGUGGAGGUAAGCGGAAUAUGUCAUGUAGCGGUGAAAUGCUUAGAUAUGACAUAGAACACCAAUUGCGAAGGCAGCUUGCUACACAGUUAUUGACGCUGAGGCACGAAAGCGUGGGGAUCAAACAGG
rnacentral:rRNA from 1 species